rnacentral:misc_RNA from 1 species
GAAAUGCGAUAAGUAAUGUGAAUUGCAGAAUUCAGUGAAUCAUCGAAUCUUUGAACGCACAUUGCGCCCGCCAGCACUCUGGCGGGCAUGCCUGUUCGAGCGUCAUUUCAACCCUCAGAACCCCUUGCGGGAUCUGGCGUUGGGGAUUGGCAUCCAGCCAGCCCCGAAAUCUAGUGGCGGUCCCUCCGCGACCUCCCCUGUGCAGUAGCGAUACCUCGCAGCGGGACAGCGGUCUGACCACGCCGUAAAACCCCCAACUUCUCAAGGUUGACCUCGAAUCAGGUAGGAAUACUCGCUGAACUUAAGC